CCUACGGGUGACAGCAGUGAGGAAUAUUGGUCAAUGGGCGUACGCCUGAACCAGCCAAGUCGCGUGAGGGAAGACUGCCCUAUGGGUUGUAAACCUCUUUUGUCAGGGAGCAACGCCGGCUACGUGUAGCCGGACUGAGAGUACCUGAAGAAAAAGCAGCGGCUAACUCCGUGCCAGCAGCCGCGGUAAUACGGAGGAUGCGAGCGUUAUCCGGAUUGAUUGGGUUAAAAGGGGGCGUAGGCGGAAUGCCAAGUCAGCGGUAAAAUCGCGGGGCUCAACCUCGCUCCGCCGUUGAAACUGGCGUUCUUGAGUGGGCGAGAAGUAUGCGGAAUGCGUGGUGUAGCGGUGAAAUGCAUAGAUAUCACGCAGAACUCCGAUUGCGAAGGCAGCAUACCGGCGCCCAACUGACGCUGAGGCACGAAAGCGUGGGUAUCGAACAGGAUUAGAUACCCGAGUAGUC
rnacentral:rRNA from 1 species